GGUCGGAUGGUGGAAUAGGUAGACACUGGGGACUUAAAAUCCCUUGGAUAUUGCAUCCGUGCGGGUUCAAUUCCCGCUCCGACUA
rnacentral:tRNA from 1 species